rnacentral:rRNA from 1 species
UACGUAGGGCGCGAGCGUUGUCCGGAAUCAUUGGGCGUAAAGAGCGUGUAGGCGGCCACUUAAGUCCUGCGUGAAAUCUUGCGGCUCAACCGCAAGCGGUCGUGGGAAACUGGGUGGCUAGAGUGCGGGAGAGGAGAGUGGAAUUCCUGGUGUAGCGGUGGAAUGCGCAGAUAUCAGGAAGAACACCCGUGGCGAAGGCGGCUCUCUGGAACGCAACUGACGCUGAGACGCGAAAGCGUGGGGAGCAAACAGG